GAUGAACGCUGGCGGCGUGCUUAACACAUGCAAGUCGAACGAAGCACUUUAUUUGAUUUCCUUCGGGACUGAUUAUUUUGUGACUGAGUGGCGGACGGGUGAGUAACGCGUGGGUAACCUGCCUUGUACAGGGGGAUAACAGUUGGAAACGGCUGCUAAUACCGCAUAAGCGCACAGCAUCGCAUGAUGCAGUGUGAAAAACUCCGGUGGUAUAAGAUGGACCCGCGUUGGAUUAGCUAGUUGGUGAGGUAACGGCCCACCAAGGCGACGAUCCAUAGCCGACCUGAGAGGGUGACCGGCCACAUUGGGACUGAGACACGGCCCAAACUCCUACGGGAGGCAGCAGUGGGGAAUAUUGCACAAUGGGCGAAAGCCUGAUGCAGCGACGCUGCGUGAGCGAAGAAGUAUUUCGGUAUGUAAAGCUCUAUCAGCAGGGAAGAUAAUGACGGUACCUGACUAAGAAGCACCGGCUAAAUACGUG
rnacentral:rRNA from 1 species